AGGCAGUCUCAUCCUCCCAGCGGGGCACCGCUCCCUGAUGCUUUUGCCUAGCAGCGCCCAGCAAAACCAGCUUUUUCUUUCCUUUUGCGCUCAAAGGAGUAAUCCGAGAAGCUGCCGGGAGCCCGGGGCUCGCAUAAACAGGACAGAGGUUGCGGUGCAAAUCCUGCGUUUUAGCUGCUCCUAGUGUCGGAAAUGUCACCAACCCAGGCCGGGGGCAAGGAGGUCGCAGAGACGCCCCAGGUGUUUCCCUCCUGAUUAGCUGGAGGUUAGAGCUUCUUGCACCUGGGGACCCCUUUGGUGUCGCUGGGCUGGCCUGCAAAGUCCAGGCUUGUGGAGGUCAAGGCCAGGCAAACGUCACUUGCACUGCAGAGGUUGAGAUGCCUGCAGGUAGAGGUGAGGCAAGGCGAGCUCAGGUGCCUGUGCAACCACAGUCAGGUGUGCAGAAGACAGUGCGAGGAGACUCGGAUCUACAUGUGCCCCAGGGUUAGAGCCUAAAGUCAUACGGAGCAAGAAGAAAGAAUGGCUACCACCUUCUCUAAAAUGUGAUUUGUAAUCUACCAAAGUGCGCAGUUGGACGGAAGAAACGUCAAGAAAUUGUGACAGCUCAGAGAGUCACGGAGGUGGAGCAUCAAGCCUCCUGCUCGGGUGGCUGGGCUCCGCUGUUCUUGGUACCGGCUAUGUCUUUUAAGAGCUAAAGAAGACUUAAACACGAAAAAUACCUGAAAGAAUUAGUAUCAUUUGUACUUUUCUCCCUUAACGAUAGCCACACAGCCAAGAGCCCCACCUAAGAAUCUGCCUUUUUAUGUGGUCUAGAAGUGGCUAAAAUAUACAAUAAAGCCAUUUCCAGUACUAAUCUCACCCUCGAUUCUUCAAAGUUAUCAUCUACUUAGCAACAAGAAACUCAGCAAGGCACAAUUUAAACAAGGAAGGAGACUGGCUUUUCAUUUUUGUGCUCCACGCGUAUGUGCACCAUAGUUUGAUCGACCGACUUUUGUGCUGUUCCCGGGUUUCUGUUAUGUGAUGUUUCUUGGCGGUACUGCAUUGCUGCCUUCUGCGCUGCGCUUGUGCAGUAGGAUGAGGGCAGGCUCUGAUUCACAGAUGCCACCUCAGCGGCUUAAACCCCAAGGACAAAUCUGACAAUUUCAACCACCGAUUUUCAGCGGGCAAGUUUCACAACAGAGGCGGGUACAGUUGACAAUCCAUAGGAAGAAAGAGUUCAUUCCCUUUCGCGGUCUCUGUGUAAAGAUGCUCGGUAGGCAUUGGGGUGCAACCUCGCCUUCUGACCUCAGCUACCCUUCCCUAGGACGAAGUAGCAAUAGCAAAUGUGAUUCUGAUUUUAUAAUAUUCUACUGGUUUAUGGAACUGUGUGCUACAGUAAUGUUAUUGUAGUACAGAACAAAGGAAUUUUGUGAUCUUUAGUGUUUCAAUGUAUUUACAUGCGUU
rnacentral:lncRNA from 1 species